GAUUCCCUCAGUAGCGGCGAGCGAACGGGGAUCAGCCCAUUAAGUUAUGUGUGUUUUAGUGGAACGCUCUGGGAAGUGCGAACGUAGAGGGUGAUAUUCCCGUACACGAAAGGGCACACAUAAUGAUGACGAGUAGGGCGAGGCACGUGAAACCUUGUCUGAAUAUGGGGGGACCAUCCUCCAAGGCUAAAUACUCCUGACUGACCGAUAGUGAACCAGUACCGUGAGGGAAAGGCGAAAAGAACCCCUGUGAGGGGAGUGAAAUAGAUCCUGAAACCGCAUGCAUACAAGCAGUGGGAGCACCUUCGUGGUGUGACUGCGUACCUUUUGUAUAAUGGGUCAGCGACUUAUAUUCAGUAGCGAGGUUAACCGUAUAGGGGAGCCGUAGAGAAAUCGAGUCUUAAUAGGGCGUUUAGUUGCUGGGUAUAGACCCGAAACCAGGCGAUCUAUCCAUGAGCAGGUUGAAGGUUGGGUAACACUAACUGGAGGACCGAACCCACUGUCGUUGAAAAGCCAGGGGAUGACUUGUGGAUAGGGGUGAAAGGCUAAUCAAGCCUGGUGAUAGCUGGUUCUCCCCGAAAGCUAUUUAGGUAGCGCCUCGGACGAAUACCAUAGGGGGUAGAGCACUGUUUCGGCUAGGGGGUCAUCCCGACUUACCAAACCGAUGCAAACUCCGAAUACCUAUGAGUACUAUCCGGGAGACAGACUGCGGGUGCUAACGUCCGUAGUCAAGAGGAAAACAAUCCAGACCGCCAGCUAAGGCCCCAAAAUCAUAGUUAAGUGGGAAACGAUGUGGGAAGGCAUAGACAGCUAGGAGGUUGGCUUAGAAGCAGCCACCCUUUAAAGAAAGCGUAAUAGCUCACUAGUCGAGUCGGCCUGCGCGGAAGAUGUAACGGGGCUAAAA
rnacentral:rRNA from 1 species